UCCAGGUCGGUUUCUAUCUAUGUACACGCCCCACCUAGUACGAAAGGAGCGGUGAAGCAAAGCCAAUACUACAAGCACGCUUUAAUAUAAAAUAGCCCACUAACAUAAAAUCAAUCGCCCCAAACCAAGAAAAGGUUAAUUAAGAACGAUCUUAAUACAUC
rnacentral:rRNA from 1 species